CCUACGGGUGGCAGCAGUAGGGAAUUUUGCGCAAUGGGCGAAAGCCUGACGCAGCAAUGCCGCGUGAUCGAGACGCCCUUCGGGGUGUAAAGAUCUGUCAGUGGGGGCGAAACUUGACGGUACUCACAGAGGAAGCACCGGCUAACUCCGUGCCAGCAGCCGCGGUAAUACGGGGGGUGCAAGCGGUGUCGGGAUUCAUUGGGCUAAAAGGGAGCGUAGGUGGGCGUUCAAGUCAGCUGUAAAAUCGCGCGGCUCAACCGCGUCCCGCAGGUGAAACUGGACGGCUUGAGUUCACAACAGGCGGGCGGAAUUCGUGGUGUAGCGGUGAAAUGCAUAGAGAUCACGAGGAACCCCGAUUGCGAAGGCAGCCUGCCGGGGUGAGACUGACGCUGAGGCUCGAAGGUGCGGGUAUCAAACAGGAUUAGAUACCCGUGUAGUC
rnacentral:rRNA from 1 species